AACAGGAUUAGAUACCCUGGUAGUCCACGCCGUAAACGAUGUCGACUAGCCGUUGGGUCCUUCGCGGACUUUGUGGCGCAGUUAACGCGAUAAGUCGACCGCCUGGGGAGUACGGCCGCAAGGUUAAAACUCAAAUGAAUUGACGGGGGCCCGCACAAGCGGUGGAGCAUGUGGUUUAAUUCGAUGCAACGCGAAGAACCUUACCUACCCUUGACAUCCUGCGAACCCUUCGGAGACGAAGGGGUGCCUUCGGGAACGCAGAGACAGGUGCUGCAUGGCUGUCGUCAGCUCGUGUUGUGAAAUGUUGGGUUAAGUCCCGUAACGAGCGCAACCCUUGUCCCUAUUUGCCAGCGAUUCGGUCGGGAACUCUAGGGAGACUGCCGGUGACAAACCGGAGGAAGGUGGGGACGACGUCAAGUCAUCAUGGCCCUUGCGGGUAGGGCUACACACGUGCUACAAUGGUCAGUACAAAGGGUUGCGAACUUGCGAGAGUGAGCCAAUCCCAGAAAGCUGAUCUCAGUCCGGAUCGGAGUCUGCAACUCGACUCCGUGAAGUCGGAAUCGCUAGUAAUCGUGAAUCAGAAUGUCACGGUGAAUACGUUCCCGGGCCUUGUACACAUCGCCCGUCACACCAUGGGAGUGGACUGCACCAGAAGUGGUUAGCCUAACCUUCGGGAGGGCGAUCACCACGGUGUGGUUCAUGACUGGGGUGAAGUCGUAACAAGGUAACC
rnacentral:rRNA from 1 species